CGCGGCCCCACAAUCCCUCCGCCCCACCCCUCAGACCCCGGCGAGAGGGACCCGGGGAGUCCGUUUCAUUCAAAUAUAGAAGGUGCCAAUGCGUUCUUCUGCCCAGGAGCAAAGCGCCCACGCUUUGGUCUGCUAGUCCCUCUGCUGGGUGAACCUCCAAACUCUGGAGACCUCGUACUAUAUCAUGGUACCUUUGCGUCUCGAGAAGCUGAAGGAAACGGAAGAAUAAGGGAAUACAGCAGAGGACAGACUGUCUCAAGGACUAGGUUCCCCCUUCUCAGAGGAAAUCGUACGGUCUGACGCCUGGAUCUCCAUAGUAACGAGGCGGGGCGGGUGAAAAACACAAUUAUUAGGGUGGACUACGCCAGAGUUCUUAUCAUCCUAGAACUACAUGACAUGAGAAUUUGUGCAAUUUAUUCAUAAUAAUUCAACCCCACUCCUGGAUAAAUAGUGCUCUCUCAAAGGAUCUCAUGACUGCUAAAUCCAAAGGACUUUUCUUUUUUGACCUACCUUUAUUUGACACAGCUGAUUACACCCUAGGACACCCAGACACUUGGUCUUCCCUGACUUUUCCCAAUUCUUCUAUUCCUGGUUUCCUACCUGUUUGACCACUCUUAGUCACCUUACUGGAUCAUCAUCAUCUAUAGUCUGCCCUCUAGGUGUAGAUGGUGAAACAAUAGUUCUUUGAUGUGCCCUCAUAAGAAUCAAUGUUAAUAUCUAUUUGAUUAAAAUUUCCCAGAGUAAGAAAUGGAAA